CACAGCAGGGGGUUGGAACUACAUGAUCAACGUGGUCCUUUGCAACCCAGGCCCAUUCUAUCAAUGGAGCUGUGGCAGUCCUUGUUCAUCACAGGGAAUGGCACCAGGUAGCCCUUUCUGCAUCCCUUUCAACUCGAUAGUUCAAUGAUUCUCACAGUAGGGACAAUUCUUCUGGUAUCUUCUGUGAUCCUGUGUUCUUCCUACCAGGACAACUCCACAUCCUCCCCCUCCUUCCUAUCCCAAUAGGAGAGCAGACACCAGGAGCAGAAGGAUCUCUGCAUAUAGUAAAAGAUGAGUAGAGAAGGGCCUGGAUAUUAAAUAGGCUUAAAACAUGCUCUUAAAACAAAACCUGGACGCUUUGUUGGGAGAUGAGUUGUUUCUCUGAGUCUUUUUGUGUUGAAAUCAUGCAAUGAGAGUGUCCAUUUUAAGGUUAUUGGGGAUCAUCCAGCGUCGUUUCCUGGUAUUUAGAGCGGAAACGUGUUGGAAAUGGAGCAGGAUUGUGAGAGCUGUGCUUCCUGCCAGCUGUAGGCUGAGAGGUUGUACAUAACAGCACAUCCAUCUCAGGUGGCCUGAAUACAGCAAGAAGCAGAACAGAAGGUAGAAGAAACAGAGACUGUGUUGGAGAUUCAGGCUGUACCAGAGCUCCCAAAGUACCACCAUCCAUAGGGAUACCUUCUCUUCUUGUGGUUGAAUGGAUCUCUCAUGGGGGAAUAAAAUAGCCACUGUUGCUUCAAAUAGUGUUUCAGAGCACUUAUGUGUAACCAGCCCCAAUGGUUUCUUCUUGCUUCGAUUCAAGCAGUGAUGGAAGGGAUUGAAAGGUCAGCGAUGCUGGAGUUGGUGAUACAGCGAUAGAUACGGUGAUAGAAAACAAACAAACAACAAACGCGUUUCUUUUGGGUUUAUGAGUAAGGAGACAGAAAGGGAACAAGGCUGCUUUUGGCUCCUGUGACUUUUCCUGCAGGAAGGUUGGGUACGAUUUCCAUUUGAACAUCUUGAAAUAGCUCCUGGCUGAGUUGGAGACGAGCAGAAGCAGCGUAAAAAUAAUCUGAGGAUCCAAGAAAACACAGCAAGGGGAAACUGGUUGGUUUCCAGGGAGCACCGGGCUGCAGUAACAUCACAGAGGGAAGGCAGCCAGCACUGAGUGUGUCCUCUCAUCUGCCUGAUGGAAGCACGGCUCACAUCACUGACCUGCAGGGAAAUCAGGUAGUUCAGGUUUGAACAGGGUGUAGCUGUGAUGGGGAGGUGGGCUGCCUUCACUAAUGGAUAACGGAAGGGAAAUGUCCUCAAGGAUUAUGAAGCUCCAACCACAGGCAGGGCCACCAACCUCCAUAUUGAUACCAGCCCAGGCUGCCCAGGGCCCCAUCCAAGCUGGCCUUGAACACCUCCAGGGAUGGACGGGGCAUCCACAGCCUCUCUGGGCAGCUGUUCCAGCACCUCACCACUCUCAUAGUGAAGAACUUAUCGCUCCUGUACAAGGUGGCACUGUGGGCAGGGCAGUCCUUGGCUCUCUGCUCACAUUAGCUUCCCUGAAAGCAAGCACUAAAAAUACUGCAGGGCACGUUGUCACUAUCGGGAAUGGCAUCAUAGAGCUGAGAGCGAAGGGGAGAAGUAUCAUAUUUAGUUAUAAAGGGGGUUGUCUCAGAGCUGGGUGAUGCAGGAGGAGGACUGGGUUGUUCUGAAUGUGGUGAUGGGUGGUGGCUGCAGAUCUUCAUUUAGGAUCAGCGGAGGGAGGGGUUUUUGGUUUGCAGCCACCUAUAAAAUGGCUAUUUACAAACUUUCUUCUCCGAAAUGAUCUCACCCUCAGUGUUUAACUCUGGUGGAAAAUAAUGUGGAGGGACUUGCAGUGAUGGAGUCUGGAUUGCAGCAGUGGAAGUGAUGCAACAGGGAUACUGGAAAGCAUGUGAGCAAUGAGACAAAGGCUCUGUGUGAACCUGCACAGUGUUGUUGGGUGUCUCCAGAGCUGCUCUGGUCAUUGAUCCCAAGCCCUUUUCAAACCACUUCUCAAUGAAUCUAACAGUGCAUUAGUGAGCUUUGUCUGCAUGUGAAACCGCCCCAUUCGUGCUGAUUGGAGCGAUAUUUGAAGUGAUGUAAGAAUAAUUCAGCUGUAUCAUCAAGGGAGUCAGCCCUAAAUAAAUGAUAGGGAAGAUGAGCAAGCGUUUGGAUAACAGGAGUGAGCUGUGAAUGGGUUUGACCUGUUUUCUGAACGCUGCGAUGAGAUGGAUGAAGGCAAAACCAUUUGGCUCAGGGACCAAAACCACCUAAAAGAGAAAAUGAGCAGCUAAGGGAAGAGAGCAGAAGGGUGCAGGGAAGAGCCUUCGUCAUGGAAGAAACUGGGAUGGGAGGCUCGACACCGUACCUACCCAUAGAGAUCUGCUAUAGGAGACUUAAAGCUGGUUCAUGGAAUCCAGAUAGUCCCUGUUUUGUUCUUUUUAAUCCAUUAAAGAGAUCAUUCAGGCAUUGAUUUCAAAGACUGACGCCUUAUAGUGGUGUAAGGAUGUGAGUUCUUAGAAAGCUGGGGAAAAAUAGAGCUGAAGGAGUGGGAUGGUGGGCAUAGAAUCAUAGAAUCACAGAAUUAUCAAGGUUGGAAAAGACCUAGAAGAUCCAAGAUUGUGAAAUGCCAUUGCUGGACUCUCAUGUCCACUCUUUGCUCAGUUACUCCUUUAGUUGUUUGACUCUGUAAUCUCAAGGGCAUUUUUACAUCAAGUUUUGAUGAAGUGCUGUGGAAAAGCAGGUGUUAUAAUAUGGAGCUGUGUGGAUCCUUAGGGAUUUAACAGCAAGUGCAGACCUCCAGUGUUAAUGGGCUGGUGUGAUGCAUUGGAAGGGACUCGUGCAAUCACAGUUGCAUGCAGCCACUUACUCCAAGUGCCAGCUUGGAUUUUAACCCUUUAUAAAGCACUUGAUUGUUGGGUAUUACAAAGAGAUGUGCCCCUCCUUGGAAGGAGUCUAAGAGAACCCCGCGUUAAUUGGGUACAAACCUGAGUGUGGUUUAUUUAAAUGAAGAUUAAGUGAUCUAUUCAACGACUUCAGGCUCCACCUGAGACACACACACCUGUAUUUGGCUUCCAGAGGAUUUUCCUCAUUAAUUAGGAGCGCUUUCCUUGUGUUGUUACUUAAUUGGAUGCCACCAGGAACCUGAUGAGACAAUGAAGUGGUCUUAAUUGCAUCCAAACGCAAUGCACGAUGCCUCACGUAAUGGGCUGCUCCGUGGCACGACCUGCUGCUUGUUAUCAUCUACUAAUAGCAAUAGGAAUCGCUCAGAUUAAAAACAAAGGAGCCCAUUAGAUUCGGUACGUCGUUAAUUAAGCACUCUCCUGUAGACAGCUCCCCUAUUUGUCAUGCCUCACAUAAGAAGUUUGCCAAGUUUGGUAACGUAGGGUACUACAUUAAGAUGCUCUUCUCCACCUUGUGGGGGUGGGUUGGGGAUCCCGUAUCUCUUCUCCAACCUGAAUGAUUCUGUCGUUCUGUGCUUUUAUGCUUUAAAUACGAUUUAGCUGGGAAGUAUUGGGAAUGGUUGGACUAGAUGAUCUUCUAGGUCUUUUCCAACCUCGAUAAUUCUGUGAUUUAUCUUUUGGGGAUGGUGGGACCAAGAGUAGAAGAAGGAGGAAUAGAAGGACCCUUCCCCAUGUCGUGCCUGUGCCUGAUCAGCUUUCCCAAACAGCAGGUCCAUGUGUUGAUGCCAUGAAUUAUGGAUGUAGCUGUCGUCACCCACAGAGCUCUGAAUGUCUGCUUGGAGUUAACCAGUUCUAGUCAGCACUAGACAGUGGAAUACACCCAAGAUGUUCUCUCUUGGAAAUGAGCCCUGGGCAGCCUGGGCUGGUAUUUAAUGUGGAGGUUGGUGGCCCUGCCUGCAGUGGGGGUUGGAGCUUCGUGAUCCUUGAGGUCCCUUCCAAGCUGGGUCAAUGAUUCUAUUGUUCUGUCUGCUGAGAUGUAGGCUUGUCCUUAAGGAAAACAUGGGAUUAAUUGGCUGGUAUCCUCACAACCAACCUGUGCCAGCAGGAGGAAAGACUUUACGAGGGUUCUUAUUGCAGGCUGUGAGUGGAGAGCUGAGCAGCAAUAGGACUGCAACGGAGAGCACCAGGCUGCUCAGCCCAAAUAAAAGCUCCGUGCCUUGUUAGAAGGGGGGUGUUGUUCUCAACCAGCACCACCAACCAUGGAAGGCAAUGCAGUCAGGUGCUGCUUCCCUUUAUUGACACCAGCAGUUCCUAGGAGUAUCAGCUCCUCAGCAGAAAGCAAUUCCAGCAUCUGUUUGAAAUGCAGCGUAGGGAUCUGUUUGCCAUGUGAUUCAUCUCAGCAUCAAAAGCCAGGCUGUGAAUUUGGCUGGGCCGAUGGCUGGUUUCCUCUUCGUCGCUUCCAGGGCUGCGGUGGGAGCUGCUGACAUUCCUCUGCACACAGCCCUGGUUGUUCCAGGAGAUCCGUGAAUGCAGCACUGCUUAAAAGGAAAACAAAUGUUCCUCUGG